rnacentral:rRNA from 1 species
UACGUAGGGACCGAGCGUUGUCCGGAAUCAUUGGGCGUAAAGAGCGUGUAGGCGGCCAGGCAGGUCCGCUGUGAAAACUCGGAGGCUCCAACCUCGAGAGGUCGGUGGAAACCGUUUGGCUAGAGUCCGGAAGAGGAGAGUGGAAGUUCCCGGUGUAGCGGUGAAAUGCGCAGAUAUCGGGAAGAACACCCGUGGCGAAGGCGGCUCUCUGGGACGGUACUGACGCUGAGACGCGAAAGCGUGGGGAGCGAACAGGA